GCCCCGGUGGUGCAGUGGUAGAGCACGCGUCCCCGGACAGGAUGAAUCGCGAGUUCGAUUUUCGCCGGAGGCC